CAGCCGUAAACUAUGCGCGUUAGGUGUACUGGUGACCACGAGUCACCGGGUGCCGAAGGGAAACCGUGAAACGUGCCGCCUGGGAAGUACGGUCGCAAGGCUGAAACUUAAAGGAAUUGGCGGGGGGAGGCACCACAACGGGUGGAGCCUGCGGUUUAAUUGGACUCAACGCCGGAAAUCUCACCGGAUAGGACAGACAUAUGAUAGUCGGGCUGAAGACUCUACUUGAUGAUCUGAGAGGUGGUGCAUGGCGUCAGUGACU
rnacentral:rRNA from 1 species